UACGUAGGGUGCGAGCGUUGUCCGGAAUUAUUGGGCGUAAAGAGCUCGUAGGCGGUGUGUCGCGUCGGCCGUGAAAACCUGCAGCUUAACUGUGGGCUUGCGGUCGAUACGGGCAUCACUGGAGUUCGGCAGGGGAGACUGGAAUUCCUGGUGUAGCGGUGAAAUGCGCAGAUAUCAGGAGGAACACCGGUGGCGAAGGCGGAUCUCUGGGCCUUACCUGACGCUGAGACGCGAAAGCUAGGGGAGCGAACAGG
rnacentral:rRNA from 1 species